UAACGCGUAGGUAACCUGCCUUGUAGCGGGGGAGUAACUAUUGGAAACGAUAGCUAAUACCGCAUAACAAUGGGUGACUCAUGUCAUUUAUUUUGAAAGGGGCAAAUGCUCCACUACAAGAUGGACCUGCGUUGUAUUAGCUAGUAGGUGAGGUAACGGCUCACCUAGGCGACGAUACAUAGCCGACCUGAGAGGGUGAUCGGCCACACUGGGACUGAGACACGGCCCAG
rnacentral:rRNA from 1 species